GUUCACCGUCUCAUGCUACCUACUAUCAAGUAUCAUAAAACAGUUAUUUCCUCAACUUUGUCUAGUUUUCUAGUUGUUUAUGGAUGAAGGGUGAUUAUGUAUCCCCAUUAUCUCCCGUGGCCAAACUCUGACAUAAUUUAGAAUGGAGUUUCAUUUUAGAAAAUCCUGUCAUACUCAUAGGCAUGGGCAAAGACUUCAUGACUAAAACACCAAAAGUGAUGGCAACAAAAGCCAAAAUUGACAAAUGAGAUCUAAUUAAACUAAAGAACUUCUGCACAGCAAAACUGUCAUCAGAGUGAACAGGCAACCUACAAAAUGGGAGAAAAUUUUUGCAAUCUAUCCAUCUGACAAAGGGUUAAUGUCCAGAAUCUACAAGGAACUUAAACAAAUUUACAAGAAAAAAAAACCCCAUCAAAAAGUGGACAAAAGAUAUGAACAGACACUUCUCAAAAGAAGACAUUUAUGUG
rnacentral:lncRNA from 1 species